rnacentral:lncRNA from 1 species
ACCAUGAUUGGGUUGCUCCGUAGCCAACCCAUGGCCCACUAAGCGCUUUUAGGGCCUAGCCUUGCACACGGCACCCAAGCCCACCGAUAUUGGGCUAUGGUUUUUCAAAUCCAAUGUUAUUUUUUGGCAUUCUCUAUAAUUUUAAUUCGAAUGUUAUUAUUAUUUUUGCUUCUACAAUUAAACCUGAAUGGUUACGAUCUAUUGAAUUAAUUAAAGUGACCAGCAGUCCAUUAAUCUAACAAUUAAUCCAAAAUUAUUGGCCUAAAUUUCACUUUUUGGCAAUUAACAAUUCAAUAAAUUAUUUUGUUUCUUUGAACCGUUGACAAUCUUUCGUAGUCCCGAUGCACUCACACUUGGGUGCCUGAAGCAAUCCACAAAUUCACUACACUUUAUUGUAUAUUGUCUUCUGUGUUCUUGCAGGUACCCCUAUAUAUGAAUUGAACGUUCAUAACUAAAUCGAACAUGUAGUUUCAAAUUUAGUGCCUUUGAAACUCGCAGUUUUCAUUCAAAACUUACCACAUGAAACUCGUAGCUUUCAUGCUUAAAUUAAACUAGCACAUGUUUAUAGAACCUGCAUGUUCUACGAUAUAUGUCCAUGGCUUUCCAUACCACUAACCACGUUUUAUUGUACCCUCCGUUUUAGGGAUAUGUCAAACUUGAACAAGCUCAAUUUCAUCGCUUUGGAAGUCUCUGGAAAAAAACUGCCUAAAGUGGGUUCAAGAUGUGAAGCUCCAUAUUACUGCAAAGAGUCUUAGAGUUACUAUCGAGGGAACUUA